AGCGUUGCUCGGAAUCACUGGGCGUAAAGGGCGCGUAGGCGGCCUGAUAAGUCGGGGGGGAAAGCCUGUGGCUCAACCACAGAAUUGCCUUCGAUACUGUUAGGCUUGAGACCGGAAGAGGUAAGUGGAACUGCGAGUGUAGAGGUGAAAUUCGUAGAUAUUCGCAAGAACACCAGUGGCGAAGGCGGCUUACUGGUCCGGAUCUGACGCUGAGGCGCGAAAGCGUGGGGAGCAAACAGG
rnacentral:rRNA from 1 species